CUCCCAGGCGGGAAGGAGCCGGCGGCGAGGGGGAUUGGACCAGGAAGGGCCUCCUCCUCCUCCUCGCAAAGCGGAAAUGAGAGAAGGAGGGGAGUGGGCUUGCAAGAAGCGCCCUGUGGGGCUUAGCGGGCGCCUCCGUGCUUGCAAAGAGGCCACACGUCUGCCCAGCUUAUUGAAUCAUAGAGUUGGAUUGGCCAUCCAGUCCAAUCCCAUUCGGCCAAGAAGCAGGAAAAUCGCAUUCAAAGCACCCCCGACAGAUAGCCAUCCAGCCUCUGCUUUAAAGCAAAGAAGAAGCCUCCACCUCACUCCAGGGCAGAGAGUUCCGCUGCUGAACAGCUCUCCUAAUGUUCAGGUGGAAUCUCCUUUUCUGUAGUUUGAAGCCGUUGUUCUGUAUCUUAGUCUCCAGAACAGCAGAAAACAAGCUUGCUCCCUCCUCCCUAUGGCUUCCCCUCACAUAUUUAUACAUGGCCCUCAUCAUGUCUCCUCUCCGCCUUCUCUUCUGCAGGCUAAACCUGCCCAGCUCUUUAAGCCGCUCCUCAUAGCGCUUGUUCUCCAGACCCUUGAUCAUUUUAGUCGCCCUCCUCUGGACACUUUCCAGCUUGUCAACAUCUCCCUUCAACUGCAGUGCCCAGAACUGGACACAGUAUUCUAGGUGUGGUCCGAUCAAGGCAGAAUAGAGGGGUAGCAUGACUUCCCCGGAUCUAGACACUAUACUCCUAUUGAUGCGGGCAAAAAUCCUAUUGGCUUUUUAAGCCACUGCAUUGCAUUAUUAGCUCAUGUUUAACUUGUUGUCCACGAGGACUCCCAAGAUCUUUUUCACACGUACUGCUGUCGAGCCAGGCGUCCUCUAUUCUGCAUCUUUGCAUUCCAUUUUUUCUGCCUAAGUGGAGUAUCUUGCAUUUGUCCCUGUUGAACUUCAUUUUGUUAGUUUCAGCCCAUCUCUCUAGUCUGUUAAGAUCAUUUUGAAUUCUGUUCCUGUCUUCUGGAGUGUUAGAUAUCCCUCCCAAUUUGGUGUUGUCUCCAAGCUUGAUAAUUCUGCCUUCUAACCCUUCAUCUCAUUAAUAAUGAUGUUGGACAGAACCGGGCCCAGGACAGAACCCUACAGCAGUUCACUCGUCACUUCUUUCCAGGAUGAAGAGGAAGUGCUGGCGAGCACCCUUUGGGGUUUGUUCACUUAGCCAAUUACAGAUCCACCUAACUUGCCCUGCAGCAGGCACCUCCUGGGUUUGUCCUUUCAGGGAGCAGGUGCCACAUGAUCUUGGAAACUAAGCAGGGUCAGCCUCAGGUAAUACUUCAGUGGGAGGCUGCCAACAGACACCAGGUUCUGGAGCAGGCAUGGGCAAACUUUGGCCCUCCAGGUGCUUUGGACUCCAGCUCCCACAAUUCCUAGCAGUCUUAGACCCCUUUCUUUUCCACCUCAGCUGCUUAAACAUCUGGAGGGCCGGAGUUUGCCUAUGCCUGUUCUAGAGGAAGGAACUGGCCAAGCCAUCUUCAAGGAAACCUUGGCCGCACUCAUAUGACAAUAAAUGCAGUUUGACACCACCAUGGCUCAGGCCUAAGAAAUCAUGGGAGUUGCAGUUUUUAUAAUGCUUGUACCCUUCCUUUGCAAAGAAUGCCAGCUAUUCUCCAAACUACACCUCCCAUGAUUCCUUAACACUUAGCCAUGGCAGUUUAAACAGCAUUAAUUCCACAGUGUAGAUGCAGCCCCAAUAGAAAUUCCUAGGAUUACCAUAAAUCAACAGGCAACUUGCAAAUUACCUACGCACAAAAAUAUGUGUAGGGCUGCUAACAUGCAUCUGGUGCAGUGGACUCUAGGCCACAACACCGCAGCCACAGCCAGCCUUUCAAGACACUAGAAGUCUUCAUUUGGCUUUUAAUAUAAAUUAGACUGCAUUUUAUAUUAAAUGGUAUGUGUGUGAUCUAGAUAUUGCCAGGCUCCCAGGUUCUGGCAGUCCCAGGCAGCAUAUCUGGUGUUGAAGUUGCCCACCCUAAUAUUAACCCAUUUGAAUGUUCCAUCUGAGGAAGUAGAUUCAGUCUACAAAAGCUUAUGCUACCAACUUCAUUCUCUUGGUCUCUAAGGUGCUAUAAGAUCCCUUUGCAUACUGAUAUAAUGUUAGGCUUUGCCCAUACCACUCUUCACCAUGGUACUUAGUGCCAGGAUAAUGUUUGAGAGGCAAAUUCUGUGCUUCAGUGCACAACUAACUCCAAUAGGGUAGGCACAGAUACAUUUAUUUAAACUUUCAUACCAUAUUCGGAUCUGAGGAUAACAAGUGAAACAAUAAAAUACAUGUUACUAGUGUUGUGUCAAAUAACAUUUAAUAACCUCAAUAAUAAAGCUCCGGCUUGUAAAAUAAGGCUGAGUGUCUGCUAAUUGAGAAGAAGACCAGAAAGUCAAGAAAUUUGUGUUGAGCAAGAGGUUUCUGCCCUAUAAUCAGGCCAGAAACCAGACAGAAUCAGAUACUCAGGGCUGAAGUCAUCUUAAUGCUCAUCACGAAAUCUCACCUUUGCAUGCAUGGCCCAAACCCAUAGGGUUCUUUCAUAAACUAACUUUAGGAGAACGCCCUAUAAUUUAGAAGUGUGACAGGUGUUAUGUGUGUAAUGUGAAAUGGCUAACAUUCUAGAAGACAAUAGUAAUUUUCACCCUGUAUUAAACAGGUGUGCAAAUUAAUAUAAUAGCUUUCUAGAAUGUGAGCCAUUUUAUUUAUUUUAUUUAUUUAUAUAUAUGGAUUAUAUGAGUCCACACUGCCAGAUAAUCUGGGCUAAACAAAAAACCUGGGAUCAGAUCCUGGGAUAUAGAGUCUGUCUGGAAGGGCCUAUAGACUAUAUUUUAGAGGACAGCAAACAACCCAUUUAUUUCUUGGUCAAGAAAGUGCUAUGAAAUUCAUGGAGUUGCCAUAAGUUGACAGGUGGCUUGAAGAUACAUAUGCAUGCAUUAAAGAGGUAGCUGUCAUACUCCAAAUUUAAAACUAUUGAGUUCCUUGUUCAUUAGUUAUACUGUAUGUUUAAAAAUACUUAUUUGCUUUGCCUCCAGAAAAGGAAUUACUCAAGGUAGCUUGCGCAUUAAUAGCAAACACACAAAAUCCAACAGUCAAUAAAUAAAAUUAAGCAGCAGUAAGGUCAAAGACUCACUAGCAGAAUACAAAUAAAGGAGAUGAAGGUCAAAUACUCACUAGCCAAAUACAAAUAAAAAAGGAGAUGAAGAUCAAAGACUCACUAGCCAAAUACAAAUUAAAAAAGAGAUGACGUAUCUUCCUAGGGCAAAUAAUUCCACAUGCAGACUUCUGUCUUGAAACAUUGUAUUUUUUGAUCCUAGCCAUACUUCCAAAGAGAACAGCACAUACAAAACAACCUCCACAGGUAGAUAAGAUCUUCUCAAGAAAUAACAAAAAACCAACAAGAGUAUCCAAUCUUUGGACUUUUCUGGAUCUUUAGGCUAGCUCUUUCAAAAAUACAAAGCAACUUUUCUGAGCGACCUAGUCAGAUGCUGAAGAAAACUUGCACAUCCUUGUGUAAUUUUAGUUUACCCACAUUUUGAAUUUCAUGUUAUUGCAUGGACUGACAUAGGUGCCAUAUCUACAAACCACCUAAAACCUAGUUAUCUUACUUAUUCUCAGAGCUCUCCUGCAUCCUCCACGAACUCAAAGGUAACUAUGCUGGAAGUCCAGUGAUGUUUACUGAAUCUUGUUUCUCCGUAAUAACCAAGAGAUAAGAGCAAGUAAGCAGGGGCUAUAACUGACAUCUAAAAACCUUAUUACUAAAAAUCAAAGCACCAUCCAAGAGUACAUAAAUACUGUAUGUAUGACUGUAAAGUUAUACAGAACUGCCCAGUAGUGACAUAGCUAUUCAAUAAGACAAUUCUUUGAGGACAUAAAUAGUUGAUUUUGUCUAAUACAGCAUUCCAACAAUCCACACACAGGUGUCACAUUAAAGCCGUUUUUAAAAGGCCUCAAACAUUACAAUAAUACAAACAUGAAAUGCAUUGGGAUACAAAGAUAAUGAACAUGAUUUUUCAGCCCUUUGAGCACAAGUGUCGAUAGCAGAAUUCAACAGAAGUUAAUAGUCUGCUUCUAGGGGGACAUAGGUGAACAUUGUUUCAAUAAGCACAGUUAUAUCUUAACUGCAGGAGGACUUGCCUUCAUACUUUUCCUGUUGAAAGAAAUGAGACGUGAAUAAGCUUAAUUGGCUAGAUUGUGCCCUUAAAUUUGCUUGCUGAUGCAGUUCACUAGAAGGCACAACUAAGACUUUGUGUGCCAGCUGUGCCCUUACCUUGGCAGGUCUGACUUGGCCACGGUGGUCCACGCUCUGGUCACAUCCCGAUUGGAUUGCUGCAACGCGCUUUACGUGGGGCUGCCUUUGAAGAUGGCCUGGAAGCUCCAAUUAGUACAACGAGUGGCAGCCAGAUUAAUAACUGGGGCGACAUACAGGGAGCGUACUACUCCCUUGUUAAGCCAGCUCCACUGGUUGCCAAUUUGCUACUGAGCCCAAUUCAAAGUGCUGGUCUUGGCCUACAAAGCCCUAAACAGUUCUGGUCCAACUUACCUGUCCGAACGUAUCUUCCCCUAUGAGCCCAUGAGAACCUUAAGAUCAUCUGGGGAGGCCCUGCUCUCAGUCCCACCCACCUCACAGGCGUGGCUGGUGGGGAUGAGAGACAGGGCCUUCUCGGUGGUGGCUCCCCGGCUGUGGAACUCCCUCCCCAGUGACAUCCGGCAGGCUCCAUCCCUCCUGGGGUUCAGAAAAAAACUGAAGACCUGACUAUGUAUGCAGGCGUUUGAAGAAUAGUAUGUGUUGGCUUCGACACGGUCUGAAUUAAGGCUUUUGUAUAAGGUCCAGUGGAUGAAUGGCAUAAGCACUUUGCACUGUUUUAAACUUUGUAUACUGUAUUUUAUGACUGUUUUAACUGUUUUAACAUUUUAGUUCAUUGUAUUAUGGUGUAACGGCAUUAAUUGCCACUUGUCAGCCACCCUGAGUCCCCUCGGGUGAGAAGGGCAGGGUAUAAAUGAUUGAAAUAAAAUAAAUAAAUAAGGCAAAGUGACAUAAAUGGGGUUGCCAUAUACAAGAUUCUGAACCAACAGAGUCAAAUACUGUAUAAAUCAGAAAGCCAAUUAUUUAUUCUAUACUGGGUUUGUAGGUUUUUGUAGUAGCUAGCUACCCCUCUUCCCCCCCCCCCCCCCCCCACACACACACACAUUGCUACCAUCUAUCAGAUUUUCUCAAGGAAGAAUCAAUGGAAGUCAUUAUCUUAACGGCUUUUUGACUUAACAGUGACAGCAUCAGAUACCAGCUCUAGGGGAAAGGAAACAUACUGAUUCCCACCUUAACAGACAUUUAUUAUGGCCCUUGGUUAAGAUAGGUCAGUGAAGUGGUGGAAUGGAGACCAGAUUGGAAAGGAGCUAUCUAAAUUAAUAGAAGCACUUUGUAGCACAUCUGCAGACCUCGUGUUGAAGGAAUUAAGGUAAGAAAACUGGUUACUAAUUAAAGACAUUUGAGGGGUUGGGUUGGGAGGAGGCAGGGAGAGAAUAGUCAAGCUUUAAAUUUAGUGUCACACUGUUUUUCUCAAAUCUUUCUAUCGAAAGCCUCUAUCUGUAUCUUAUUUUUUCUUCCUCCUUGUUAUAUUCACAGUUUGGAUUAGGCCUUCCUGAAGUUGCUUCAAUAAAUUUAAUCUGAUCACACAUUUAAGACUAUCUUCUGACUUGGCUUUGAGAUUUACUUCCACUUAAAUGUGCUUAAGCUUGUGGUGGCAGCAUAUGUUAGGGGUUGAGUUGUAUUUCAUUUUCCCAAAACUGAUUAAUUUACAUGGAAACAAAAACUUUACACCUGCUGUGUGUUUCCACUACCAAAUUCAUUAUCUAUAUAGAAAUCUCAAACUGACCCUCACCAUUUAACAAUCACCUAUACCAUGGUAUUUCUGAUAUAUUUCUAUUGAUGUAAAAAGUUGACAAACAAGGAAUCUGAGAAAAAAAAAGAAAAGGAACAAUUUAUUUGAAAAGUGGUGCUAGUGUAAGUUUUUGGGAUACCAUAGACUACCAGAAAGCAAAUAAAUGGGUCAUAGAACAGAUCAAGCCGGAAACUAGAGUGAUAAAAAUUCAAAAUAAAUACCAAAAUAAAAGCAAAAUGCAAAGCUAACUCAAGAUAUACACACACACACACAUACAUUCAUGCAUACACACACACACACAUACAUUCAUGCAUACACACACACACACACACACACACACAUAUAUACACACACAUACAUACUCAUUUUAGAUCCUCAUGGGUUAGAAACAAGGUAACACAGGAGUUGUAAGCUGUUGAUGGAGAGAAAGCAAUUAUGUUGGUAUCAGUUUCUUGGAAGAGAGAAUUCCACAGACUGCAGACAAUCAUUAAGAAAGAUCUCUAGCAGCCACACGGGGCUUCAGAAAGUGUAGACAUUUGAAGCAAUGUUGAUGACAUUAAGGCUUAGAAAAGCAUAUAUACUUCUUGCAUCAGAUGCCAGUGUUGUGUACUGUGAACAAAACCAAUGCUUUUGAUUGAAAAUGACAUGAAACCAAUGAAACUCAUAGUUGAAAUUCUUGAGGUUCCAUUUUUUCUGCACCACUUGUAGUUUCCAAACCAUCUUGGAUAUCAAUCUCAUGUUCAAUAUAUUGCAAUAAUUGAGAUGGGAGAUGACCAGGCUAUGAAUCACCACAGUUAAAUGAAAGGCACAGCUGCAAUUCCAGCUUAAAAACUGAUAAAGGACACUGUGCACCACACAAAGAUCACCAGAGCCUUUAGUAACAAUGAUGAUCCAAAAAUACUCCCCAGACUAUAAAGUUAUUCUUUAGGCUGAGUGAAACCUUUUCCAAAAACAAACUGCACCACUUUUAUUUAAACUUAGGGCGGUUCCACACAGCCCUUUAACCCGGGAGCAAUUGGGGUUGAUAAACCUGAUUGCGCCUGGGUUAAAGUUCACACAUGCUCCAGAAAGUGUGUGCUUUUCUGAGGGGGAGGGUGUCCACAUGCUCUGCGGGACUUUUCGGCAGGGCACCAGGACACAAAACAACCACCCCUCCCAGAAAAGCCUUUAAAAAUAAAAUAACUUACCUGGCCACAGUCCUCCCUUCUCUCCUGGUGUGUAGAAAUGAUGAGCCAGGAGAAGGGGGGGAGGAGGAAAAUCACUCCUGCCCCCUUUUUCCUGGUACGCACUAGGAGAGCUCAGGAGAAGGGGGAAUGGCAGCCGGGUAAGUUAGUUUCUAUUUUAAAGGUUUUUCUGGGGGGUCUUUUGGGAGGGGUUGGGGGCUGUCUUGAGUUUCUUGGCCUCAAGGAGCCCAAGAAACCCGAAACAGAUGUGUAGAUGUUGUUCCGCGCGAUCCUCGGGCCCAUCUACACAGCGCCCACAGAUGGAAAAACAUGGAUCUUUCCAGCUGACAAAUUACCUUGGGACAAAGCAGGGUUUUUCUCUUUGUCCCGAGUGAAUUUGUUUUUAUGUGAAAAUGUGGAAGCUCGCGCUUUUAAGGGGCUGUCUGAAUGCACCCUUAGGAACUGUCUAUCAAUGUCUCUCUCUCUUGUCUGUGUUGCAUCUGUUAAGUCUUGAGUUCAUGAUUAUUCAUUUUUAAAAUCAUCCUGCCUUCCUCCUAGUAUAGGGCCCAAGGAAGCUUACAAAAAUACAAGAAGGCUUACAAAAAAAAGUACAGCUAAAUCAUAUUUGAUAUAAAGAAAUUUAAAAGUAAGAUUUUCUAUCAAAACACUAAACCAAAACAGCUGAAAACUUUCAAACAUAGUAAAAAGAACAAAAUCAUAAUAUGGCACAUUUAAAGAUCCUUCUGUCACACCAAAUUAAGAACCAAAGACCUAUCUAAAUAAAAUGAUAUUGCCUACUGGCAGACAGAGCCAAACUGGUUAUCCAUGGGAGAAAAUUCAAAAAGUAGAGAGUGGCUACCGAAAAGCUUGUUCUCUAGUCUUCACCAACCACACAAAUGCCAUGUAGCACUUUGAAGGUCAUCAUCAGUACUGAACCAUACCCUAAACCGACCUAUUGUAGAAAAAGACAAAAUCAUGGAGCUUAGGCAUGUCCAAUACAGUCACUGUAUUUCUUAGCUCUGAAAAGGAGAAAGAAUUGUUGGUCAACAGCAUGCUAAUGAUAAAAUACUCUUGAUCACUAAAUUAUCCUGCUUUAGAUCAGGCUGCGCAAUAUGUCAGCCAUAUACAUAACCAGGACAUUUUUAUGUUUCAAUGAUGCCGGCUGCUACUGCAAGAGCAGCAGCAAACACAACUGUGCUUUCCAUGUAAUUGGUUGCCUCUGCAGCAUGGGAGCAAAUGUGUUCAAAAGGCUUUUAACAAUCAUGGUUGCUUCUGUUUUAAAUCAAGGAAUGGUGAAGCACCUCUGGCUCAUGAACUGACUUCCAAAUUGAAACUUUAGAGUUCGGACAGAACUACGAAACUCCAAAUUAAAGACAACUCAAGAAGGAGAUUUUCACAAUUGGACCGAGAUCUUAAACCAAAACCUUCCACAAUAGAAAGUACAUUCUGUGUCCCCUCUUUUAAGAAGAGCACUGAAACCACGUACUCUAUUUCAAAAGAACACCACACAUGGAUUUCUUCCUUAAACUCAGCCUGCUACCCCUUUCUUGGCACAUGUAAUCAUCCACGAGAAGGAAGGAUCAAGCACAUGCGCUGUUUUUCAAAGUGGGAGUCAUCCAACAAUAUUGGCAUAGAAAGAGCUCUGGAACAACUGCAGAUCACACAAGCUUCAGUGACAGAGUUGCAAUCACAGCAAUUUUAUUCUCAAAAUAUCUUGCAAAACAUCUUAGGAUCUCUUCCUACUGAGGCAUCUAUUGAAACAUGACAAAAGUUAGAUUUUAGAAUGUUUUUAAUUAUUCAGAGACCCUCCACUAGAUAACACAAAGUGGAUGCAAUGGUGUAGAGAAAAGUGCUUACUUAUCACGAUCACCACAGGAUAGGGUCAGUAAUGAAAUCAUAGUAGGGUUUAGUGUAUUUUUAUGUGUUUCUAAUACCUCCCGGUGUGUUCCAUUAUCUUCAGCUGAAAAAGUUAGUCUCAGGAACUGCACAGACACUGCUAAGGACUAAACUAUUCUGGAGCAAUCAGGUCAACCAACUUGCUCAUCUCUUAUCUCACAGAUCGACAUAGGCUAGCUAGAAAAUGCCACUGAACUCAAUAGAACCCUCUGGAAUCCAUCAAUUACCAAGUAUGGAUCCACUCAACAAAUUCAAGACCUUUGAAAAGUGAAGACACAAAGAUCCAACCAGUCCAUCCUCCAGGAAAUAAUGCCCAACUGCUCACUGGAGGGAAGGAAAUUAGAGGCAAAGAUGAAGUAUUUUGGCCACAUCGUGAGAAGACAGGAAAACUUGGAGAAGAUCAUGAUGCUGGGGAAAAAGGAAGAGGGGCUGACCAAGGGCAAGAUGGAUGGUUGGUAUUCUUGAAGUGACUGGCUUGACCUUGAAGGAGCUGGGGGUGGCAACGGCCGACAAGAAACUGGUGUGGGCUGGUCCAUGAGGUCACGAAGAGUCGGAAGCAACUGAACAAAUAAACAACAACAACAUGUUGUGAACUACCUCAAAUUGCCUAGUUCUAGCAGAAAGGCAAGGUAUAACUCAAAUAAAUAAAUAUAAAAUUAA